rnacentral:rRNA from 1 species
GCAAGUCGAGGGGCAGCAUGAUCUGCUUGCAGAUUGCUGACGACCGGCGCACGGGUGCGUAACGCGUAUAGAAUCUACCUUACACUGAGGGAUAGCCUUGGGAAACAAGGAUUAAUACCUUAUAGUAUUAUUGAUUGGCAUCAUAUUCUUAUAUUAAAGGUUACGGCAAAAGAUGAGUAUGCGUUCUAUUAGCUAGAUGGUGUGGUAACGGCACACCAUGGCAACGAUAGAUAGGCGCCCUGAGAGGGGGAUCCCCCACACUGGUACUGAGACACGGACCAGACUCCUACGGGAGGCAGCAGUGAGGAAUAUUGGACAAUGCAGGCAACUCUGAUCCAGUCAUGCCGCGUGCAGGAAGACUGCCCUAUGGGUUGUAAACUGCUUUUAUACAGGAAGAAACACUCCCUCGUGAGGGAGCUUGACGGUACUGUACGAAUAAGGAUCGGCUAACUCCGUGCCAGCAGCCGCGGUAAUACGGAGGAUCCAAGCGUUAUCCGGAAUCAUUGGGUUUAAAGGGUCCGUAGGUGGAUAAUUAAGUCAGGGGUGAAAGUCUGCAGCUCAACUGUAGAAUUGCCUUUGAUACUGGUUAUCUUGAGUUAUUAUGAAGUAAUUAGAAUAUGUAGUGUAGCGGUGAAAUGCAUAGAUAUUACAUAGAAUACCAAUUGCGAAGGCAGAUUACUAAUAAUAUACUGACACUGAUGGACGAAAGCGUGGGGAGCGAACAGGAUUAGAUACCCUGGUAGUCCACGCCGUAAACGAUGGUCACUAGCUGUUGGGUUUUCGGACUCAGUGGCUAAGCGAAAGUGAUAAGUGACCCACCUGGGGAGUACGUUCGCAAGAAUGAAACUCAAAGGAAUUGACGGGGGCCCGCACAAGCGGUGGAGCAUGUGGUUUAAUUCGAUGAUACGCGAGGAACCUUACCAGGGCUUAAAUGUAGAUUGACAGGGCUAGAGAUAGCUUUUCCUUCGGGCAAUUUACAAGGUGCUGCAUGGUUGUCGUCAGCUCGUGCCGUGAGGUGUCAGGUUAAGUCCUAUAACGAGCGCAACCCCUGUUGUUAGUUGCCAGCGAUUAAAGUCGGGAACUCUAACAAGACUGCCGGUGCAAACCGUGAGGAAGGUGGGGAUGACGUCAAAUCAUCACGGCCCUUACGUCCUGGGCUACACACGUGCUACAACGGCCGGUACAAUGAGCAGCCACCCCGCGAGGGGGAGCGAAUCUAUAAAACCGGUCACAGUUCGGAUCGGAGUCUGCAACUCGACUCCGGGAAGCUGGAAUCGCUAGUAAUCGUAUAUCAGCCAUGAUCCGGUGAAUACGUUCCCGGGCCUUGUACACACCGCCCGUCAAGCCAUGGAAGCUGGGGGUACCUGAAG